GCGCACCAGUCGAGAAAACUUCACACUGUGCGAAAGCACGGUGAGGGAAUCCCAAGUGCUUGCACGUAAGUGUAAGCUGUUUCUCUGUCUAAAACGCAGAGAGAGUAAGGGCUGGGUAAGACGGGUGCCAGCCGCCGCGGUAAUACCUGCAGCUCAAGUGGUGACCGUUAUUAUUGGGCCUAAAACGUCCGUAGCCGGUUUAAUAAAUGCCUGGGUAAAUUGUGUAGCUUAACUAUACGAAUUCCGGGUAGACUGUUAAACUUGAGACCGGGAGAAGUUAGAGGUACUCCUGGGGUAGAGGUGAAAUUCUGUAAUCCUAGGGGGACCACCAGUGGCGAAGGCGUCUAACUAGAACGGGUCUGACGGUGAGGGACGAAGCCCUGGGGCG
rnacentral:rRNA from 1 species